CAAAUUAUAAUUUAUUAUAAAAUAUUUUUAUUUACAUUAAAGAGUUAAUUGUGAAAAUCAAUUUAAUUUGA
rnacentral:tRNA from 1 species